rnacentral:lncRNA from 1 species
UUUUUUCCAAUAUGUGCGCUGCUGGUGUUAAGUCUGAAUGAAGGAAGGGACUGGGAGUCAUUUCCUAACAUUGCUAUGGUUUGAAUGUGUCCCCUAAAUUUCAUGUCUUGGAAACUUAAUCCCCAAAUUCAAAUGUUGAUUGGAAGUGGAACCUUUAGGACAUAAUUAGGAUUAGAUAAGGUCAUCAGUGUGGGCCCCCACCCCCAUGAUGGAACUGGUGGCUUUAUAAGAAGAGGAAGAUAAGAAGGGAAAGAAAGACCUGAGCUGACAUGCACAUGCUUGACCACUUGUCAUGUGAUGCCCUUUGCCAUGUUGUGACACAGCAAGGAGGCCCUCACCAGACGCCAGUGCCAUGUUCUUGGACUUCUCAGCCUCCAUAUUCAUGAACUAAGUUUUUGGAAUCCUUAGGCUUCCACGUGUGGAAAGCCUGAGCUAACCUACUGGAGGAUGAGCCAUCACCUGGAGCAGAUUCAGGCCAUCCUAGUUGAAGCCUCCCUAGGCCAAGCAACCGUCCAACUACCAGACAUUGACCAUUCAGCCUUGAACAUUCAGCACAAAGACAAAACAGACCAGACCAGAAGAGUCCCACAGAAUAGGGGAAACUAUUCAGAGAAAACUUAAGCCACUAAGUUUUAUGGUGUUUUGUUCUGUAGCAGAAGCAUAGGCAUACUGACAAUACAAACCGAAAUCCUUCUAACGUAGUGGACCUUUUCAGGCCAGCAUUUUUUCCUUGAAAACCUGGAGCAUGUAUCCAUCUUAUAGCAGAGAUCACUUUCACAAUGUUUGGGCUCUUGAUUUGAAUUGAUGAUGUAAUGAGCCCUCUAUCCAGAUUGUAACUAAUUACUCUGCGAAUUGACUGGAUUCCACACCCUUCUAAUAUUUUACUUUUCCUCUUUUAUCAACUCUCAUUCUUGCUGCCAUGAUCAAUGGACCAACUAUGCUUAUAACCACAAAUUUUGAUAUGCUUAAACAAAUGAACAAAUAUAUUUAA